rnacentral:rRNA from 1 species
AAUGAACGUUGGCGACGUGGAUUAGGCAUGCAAGUCGUUCGCCCCGCGAGGGGCGAGGCGCAAGGGUGAGUAUGGCGACGACAACCAACCCCGAGGGUGGGCAUAGCCGCGGGAAACUGCGGGUAAUUCCCAGCGAAGUCGGAGGGUGGCAUCAUCCACCGACCAAAGGUGCGAUAUCCGCCUCGGGACGGGGCGUCGUGGUAUCAGCUAGUUGGUGGGGUAACGGCCCACCAAGGCGAAGACGCCUACCGGGCGUGCGAGCGUGGCCCGGCACACUGGGACUGAGACACUGCCCAGACACCUACGGGUGGCUGCAGUGGAGAAUCUUCGGCAAUGGGCGCAAGCCCGACCGAGCGACGUCGCGUGGAGGACGAAGGCCUUCGGGUUGUAAACUCCUGUCGAGGGGGAACAAGGGCCGGUGGAGAGCCGGACUUGAGUGAUCCCUGGAGGAAGCACGGGCUAAGUUCGUGCCAGCCGCCGCGGUAACAC